rnacentral:rRNA from 1 species
GACGAACGCUGGCGGCGCGCUUAACACAUGCAAGUCGAGCGAAGCGGCGGACGGGUGAGUAACACGUGAGUAACCUGCCUUAGACAUUGGGAUAGCCUCGGGAAACCGGGAUUAAUACCAAAUGGUCUAAGAUGGGCUCGCGUCCCAUUAGCUAGUUGGUGGGUAACGGCCCACCAAGGCGACGAUGGGUAGCCGGCCUGGGAGGCACAGCGGCGACAUUGAAGCUGAGCAGCAGUCCGAAAUCUACGGAAGGCAGCAGUGGGGAAUAUUGCAAAACGGAGGGAGCUCUGAUGCAGCGCCGCCGCGUGAGCGAAGAAGGCUUUGGAGUCGUAAAGUUCUUUUAUAUGGGAAGCGGUACCAUAAGAAAAAGCCCCGGCUAACUACGUGCCAGCAGCCGCGGUAAUUC